rnacentral:rRNA from 1 species
GCAGGGAGCAGCUACACAUGCAGUCGAGCGAGAACUUCGGUUCUAGCGGCGGACGGGUUAGUAACGCGUGGGAACGUGCCCUUCACUACGGAAUAGUCCCGGGAAACUGGGUUUAAUACCGUAUACGCCCUUCGGGGGAAAGAAUUUCGGUGAAGGAUCGGCCCGCGUUAGAUUAGAUAGUUGGUGGGGUAACGGCCUACCAAGUCUACGAUCUAUAGCUGGUUUUAGAGGAUGAUCAGCAACACUGGGACUGAGACACGGCCCAGACUCCUACGGGAGGCAGCAGUGGGGAAUCUUAGACAAUGGGCGCAAGCCUGAUCUAGCCAUGCCGCGUGAGUGAUGAAGGCCUUAGGGUCGUAAAGCUCUUUCGCCAGGGAUGAUAAUGACAGUACCUGGUAAAGAAACCCCGGCUAACUCCGUGCCAGCAGCCGCGGUAAUACGGAGGGGGUUAGCGUUGUUCGGAAUUACUGGGCGUAAAGCGCGCGUAGGCGGAUUGGAAAGUUGGGGGUGAAAUCCCAGGGCUCAACCCUGGAACUGCCUCCAAAACUAUCAGUCUAGAGUUCGAGAGAGGUGAGUGGAACUCCGAGUGUAGAGGUGAAAUUCGUAGAUAUUCGGAAGAACACCAGUGGCGAAGGCGGCUCACUGGCUCGAUACUGACGCUGAGGUGCGAAAGUGUGGGGAGCAAACAGGAUUAGAUACCCUGGUAGUCC